CACUCUCGCUGCGGGAGCUUGAUGUUUGGAAAUAAUAUGCUGAGAGUUUCAAAGUCUAUGGUACCGUACCUGAAAAGACUUUGUAUCGACCGUUCGAACCUGCUCAUGGUAAUGCAUGCGAAAGGGAAUGUGAGUUGUGCAAUGG
rnacentral:ncRNA from 1 species